ACGGGAGGUAGCAGUGGGGAAUAUUGCGCAAUGGGGGAAACCCUGACGCAGCGACGCCGCGUGAGUGAAGAAGUAUUUCGGUAUGUAAAGCUCUAUCAGCAGGGAAGAAUAAAUGACGGUACCUGACUAAGAAGCCCCGGCUAACUACGUGCCAGCAGCCGCGGUAAUACGUAGGGGGCAAGCGUUAUCCGGAUUUACUGGGUGUAAAGGGAGCGUAGACGGCAUAGCAAGUCUGAAGUGAAAGGCUGGGGCUCAACCCCGGGACUGCUUUGGAAACUGUUAAGCUAGAGUGCAGGAGAGGUAAGUGGAAUUCCUAGUGUAGCGGUGAAAUGCGUAGAUAUUAGGAGGAACACCAGUGGCGAAGGCGGCUUACUGGACGACAACUGACGCUGAUACACGAAAGCGUGGGGAGCAAACAGGAUUAGAUACCCUGGUA
rnacentral:rRNA from 1 species